rnacentral:lncRNA from 1 species
GCGUGUGUCAUUAUUUCAAUUCAUCUUAGAAUUAGACUCCAAUAUGCACUUGAAUAUGUUGAGGGUGUGGGAGAGUGAUUGCAUGAUAUCUACAUAGGCUUUUCGAAUUAAUAUAGCAUGUUAUGUAUUAAAUCAACUCCAUGCUUGUGAAUGGAGCUCUUGGAAAUAAAUUUUUAUUAAGAUUUUUUGUUAACCUCUAGUUAGAGGCGUGGACUAUUAGUUUCUCUAAAAUCAGAUACCACAUGUUGGAUAAUAUAAGAGAUAGGUUCCCGCCCAUACACAAAUACUUUGUCCCCCUGUUCCCAUCGCUUCUAGUGGGUGCCACGACCCCGAUACAAUGGUAGCCUAUAGUACAGUGAAACCACGAUAGCGACGAGGCGAGCUUCCAACAACAACAGUGGUAGCAAAGUAUCUGUCCGGGAAAGAACCAAAUGGCUCGGCGACGAAGAAUCCACCAAGGAAGCCGAUACAACAACAACAACGGCAAAGCAUCCACCUGAGAGGAACCACGGCGGCCUGUUAGGCCCGGGGCGGCGAUGUACGACGCCGGGGACAAGGAACUUGCCGGAGAAGAAGAACAGUAACUCACACGAACACUUGAACACACAGGACACAAGAUGAUUUUGGUGCUGCUCAA